GUCCUUUUGCAGUUUGCAAGCGAGAUGAGUGAAUGUUUAUGCCCAUGUGUGAGAUGUACCUCCCUCAAACCUUGUUAAGAUGUAGGCAUAUUACCUGUCUGACA